GAGAGGACUCAUCUGCGGGGCUCCGGGGCUCCCUUGGCUUGGAGAGGACAGGCUUGGGUUUAUGUUCAUGCAGGAAGGCUGUGGUGAGGCCUCUCAUCCCCCCCCCCCCCCCCCGCAACAUCUCUCCUGUCCCUGCUCUGAGCCUGACUCCUGCCUGGUCCCUCCAUCCCAGGCCUAAGGGAUCAGCCCCAUCACUCAAAUGCCUCUGGCCACCAUGGGCUGAAUGCAGAGCCCCAAGAACCUAUGUGGAGGGCUCCAGAAGGAAGUGGCCAGCGGCCCAGGCCUGCGGCUCAGCUGGCUGUGCAAGGAUGAAGGUCGGCACACCCACCAGCCCCAGCCAGGGUAUCAAGGGAAAGAGCCCCAGGUGGCAGGACCCCCAGAGCCACCGUUGUGGAAUCCAGAGGAACUGUGUGUACAGGGCAGGAGACAAGCCCUGAGCCAGGACAGGCCCUGAGGUUCCAAGAAAGGAGGGACCUCAACUGCACGGCCCGGCCAGAGGCCACUGAGAAGGCUGGACCACCCUGAGCACCGCCAAGCUCUUGGGGGCCGGGCCCAGACCCUCCCUCGUGCAUGAGCAGACACCGGCCUCCCGCCCAGCCCCCGAGCCACAGGGAACCCGCCGCACCCACCCCCUCCAGCCGUCAGGGGGCAACGCACACAUGCACAGGCAGGAGCUCCCUGUUCUCCUGAAGACACUCAGGGUUGAACUUCCCACAGGGGCUCCACACCCCAGGAACAUCACACCGAGCCCCUCACCAUCUAGGCUGACCAGCCAGUGCCUGCCCCAGGUCCUGCAGAAGAC